AACGCGAAGAACCUUACCAGGGCUUGACAUCCCUCUGACCGCCCUAUAAAAGGAGCUUCCCUUCGGGGCAGAGGAGACAGGUGGUGCAUGGUUGUCGUCAGCUCGUGUCGUGAGAUGUUGGGUUAAGUCCCGCAACGAGCGCAACCCUUGUCAUUAGUUGCCAUCAUUCAGUUGGGCACUCUAGUGAGACUGCCGGGGAUAACUCGGAGGAAGGUGGGGAUGACGUCAAAUCAUCAUGCCCCUUAUGUUCUGGGCUACACACGUGCUACAAUGGCCGGUACAAAGAGCCGCAAUACCGCGAGGUGGAGCAAAUCUCAAAAACCGGUCCCAGUUCGGAUUGCAGGCUGCAACUCGCCUGCAUGAAGUCGGAGUUGCUAGUAAUCGCAGAUCAGAAUGCUGCGGUGAAUGCGUUCCCGGGUCUUGUACACACCG
rnacentral:rRNA from 1 species